GACGAACGCUGGCGGCGUGCCUAAUACAUGCAAGUUGAGCGCUGAAGGUUGGUACUUGUACCGACUGGAUGAGCAGCGAACGGGUGAGUAACGCGUGGGGAAUCUGCCUUUGAGCGGGGGACAACAUUUGGAAACGAAUGCUAAUACCGCAUAAAAACUUUAAACACAAGUUUUAAGUUUGAAAGAUGCAAUUGCAUCACUCAAAGAUGAUCCCGCGUUGUAUUAGCUAGUUGGUGAGGUAAAGGCUCACCAAGGCGAUGAUACAUAGCCGACCUGAGAGGGUGAUCGGCCACAUUGGGACUGAGACACGGCCCAAACUCCUACGGGAGGCAGCAGUAGGGAAUCUUCGGCAAUGGACGAAAGUCUGACCGAGCAACGCCGCGUGAGUGAAGAAGGUUUUCGAAUCGUAAAACUCUGUUGGUAGAGAAGAACGUUGGUGAGAGUGGAAAGCUCAUCAAGUGACGGUAACUACACAGAAAGGGACGGCUAACUACGUG
rnacentral:rRNA from 1 species